rnacentral:rRNA from 1 species
UACGGAAGGUGCAAGCGUUGUUCGGAAUCACUGGGCGUAAAGGGUGCGUAGGCGGCCUGGUAAGUCUGGCGUGAAAUCCCAGGGCUCAACCCUGGAAGGGCGCUAGAAACUGCGAGGCUCGAGUGCCGGAGGGGAGAGUGGAAUUCCUGGUGUAGCGGUGAAAUGCGUAGAUAUCAGGAGGGACACCGGUGGCGAAGGCGGCAUCCUGGACCAGGAAUGACGAUGAGUGAGCGAAAGCCAGGGGAGCAAACGGG